rnacentral:lncRNA from 1 species
CUUUAGGGACUGAAAGCUAUAUGGAUUUGUAUUUCUUACAUCCAUUGUUUCAAUAUUUGCAGUUAACUGCCAUAUCUAUCUACAAGUAUAAGAUACUAGUCUCUGAGGUCCCCUUUCAGUAGCAAUUCCAGGAAAAUCAGAGGAGUUACACCAUACUAAAGCAGCAUGGGUUUAGAUGAGAAUCAGGGCUGUUAAAACAAUUUAUUUUAAUACUAUUACUGCUCUGUGCCUCACAGAAAGACCUAAACUUCACCUUUCCAUAGAGGUGUCUGGGCUGCAGUGGAUCCACACCAAUUAACACUAGGGAAGGACCAGAAUAUCCAAGACAAAAUUGUUUAAAUUGGCCAAAAGACUGUGAGCGGAGUAUAUCAGAAGGAAAAUCCUUGCAUGUGGUAAAGAGAGUAGCAUGCUCUUUUCACCUUUUCUGCAAAAAAAGGCCAAUCAAAACCAUUCAACACACUGAAGAGACUUAACAAAAUGACUAUUCUCACCUCCAUUGCCUGUAGGCAGACCUUGAGACUGAAGAGGCUCUCUCUUUCGUUUCAACAGGCCCUCAUCUGCUUUCUCCUUCAGCGGUGGCAGUAGAUCAGCAACCUUCCCCUGUUGCUAUGGGGAUUCCUCCAAAAAUGUGCUUAGUCAGAAAAUGCGUCAGGAUUUUUCAACACUGUUUUUCAUUGGAAAAUUGAUUUUUGAGCAUUAGUGACCUUCAUCAAAAGAGAGAACGCUUUACUCCUGUCUUCCCCACCUUCUUCCCCCUCAACAGCCCAGUCUUGGACAGUUUGCUGAUGAAGACACUUUUUGAGAAUUUGGACACUAGCAUCUCUGGUUCUAUGAUAUUUACCAACCUGCUGUUUGCUGUUGGGGGAGAAGUACGGUGAACUACUUCAGCUAUUGCUGCUUGCAAUUUUGAAGUUAGCUGAAGAGAGGAUGACACUUUUCUCCAUUGAAAGAGGAAUGGGAACUUCCCCUAGGCUUCUUCCUAAUUUUUAUGUUGCUAGCACCCCGGGGGAGAUGGCCCUGCUCUUUGCCCUGUGUCAACUGUACCAGGCCCUGGAGAGAGCUGGGGGCAGAAUAAAAUCUCCAGCUUGUGAUAGCUCUCCAGAUUCGCUCACAUUCUCACUCGGAGUCGAACCAAACCUCCAAAGUGUUUAUCUGUGACGUGGGCUUUUUUCAGAAUGGUUGUUUUCAGAACAAACCCCUCUGCUUUCCAGCUGAAAUGCUGGGCGCUAUCUCUCACGCUCUCUCCUCUUCCCCCUGCCAGUCCUGCUUGGGGAGCCCCACACCUGGUAAACCCCUUGCCGUUGAAACUUGGAUGACACUGCAACAUACUGACAAAAUACUUCAGCGUCAAUAAAACUGCAGACUUCGAUUUUCUUUUCA